rnacentral:rRNA from 1 species
UAGCGUUGCUCGGAAUCACUGGGCGUAAAGGGUGCGUAGGCGGGGCUUUAAGUCAGGGGUGAAAUCCUGGAGCUCAACUCCAGAACUGCCUUUGAUACUGAGGAUCUUGAGUACGGGAGAGGUGAGUGGAACUGCGAGUGUAGAGGUGAAAUUCGUAGAUAUCGAGAAGAACACCGGUGGCGAAGGCGGCCAACUGGACGGUGACUGACGCUGAGACGCGAAAGCGUGGGGAGCAAACAGG